rnacentral:tRNA from 1 species
GGGGAUUUAGCUCAGUGGCACUGCACUUGCCUCUCAAGUACAAGGUCCUGAGUUUGAUUCCCAGAACCCCCC